AAUUAUGAUGGAGAAAAAUCCGAUAACACACAGGUGGGUGGAAACCAAAGAAGUAAGGAAUGUGACUGAGGAAAGAACGGGAAAAAACAUCUUUUCUCUGGGAGUCUCUUCAAAGUCACAGAAUGGGCAGGACAUGCCCAAGAGCCACUCCAGAGUCAGUGGAAAAACUUCAAUCAAGUUGAUCGCCAGAUAUCCUCCAAGUUGGUCACCAGAAAUCGUCCGGGCUGGUCACAAGAUCUCCCGCUGCCGAACUUUCAAUAAGUCAAUUCUAUCAAUUAUUCGUACAAUAUAAUUCAGCUGUGUCAUAGUCAACAAGAAAGUGCACUGUAAAGCCAGUGAUUGCUUUUUCAACAAUUUCUUCCACUGCCGUAUCAUCUGAUAGAACUAGGAUCACCGCUCACUCAACAAGUGCCCACGAAGUGAAUCUUCAACAAGGACUAAAGACUGUAUAUUGGGAAUAGAGACAAUAGUGUACUACUCAAGACUUUAUUCACCUAGUACACAGGACAACUAUAUAUAUAUAAUAAUUCUUCUUUUCCAUAGUGUUUCAAGGUAUUUAUUCCAUAUGAUGUAUAAUCUCUUCUUCUCAUUAAAGAUCCAAGGUUUACAUAAAACUGUAGUUAUCUGUCUCUGUCUGUGUUGAGUACAUCUCACUUUGCCGUACUUACCUGUGCGAUAACCCACAUGACCAUGGUAGGCUAACACCUGUGUUCAAAUUGUCCAUUGGAUCCACAACACUAAGUUAAGAUAUCCAAUAUAGUAAUUUUACAGUUACUGGUAUUUCUUCAGGUAUGCAUGUAAGUAUCUAAUUGGUUGGAUAAGCUCUCUGGAAUGAAGUAGUAAAUGCUUUCUUAACCUUUUCAUAAAUAAAUUUCAUAAAUUUAAAUUUAUAGCUGUAAUUUUUACCCCAGAAUAUGAUUUUAUAGAAUUCUUCAUGCUGGCCUAUAUUUGUGGAGCAGUAGGUGAAAAUUUUGCAAAAAAAAUGAACGGAAGACU
rnacentral:lncRNA from 1 species